rnacentral:rRNA from 1 species
AUGCAAGUAGAACGCUGAAGAGAGGAGCUUGCUCUUCUUGGAUGAGUUGCGAACGGGUGAGUAACGCGUAGGUAACCUGCCUUGUAGCGGGGGAUAACUAUUGGAAACGAUAGCUAAUACCGCAUAACAAUGGGUGACACAUGUCAUUUAUUUGAAAGGGGCAAUUGCUCCACUACAAGAUGGACCUGCGUUGUAUUAGCUAGUAGGUGAGGUAACGGCUCACCUAGGCGACGAUACAUAGCCGACCUGAGAGGGUGAUCGGCCACACUGGGACUGAGACACGGCCCAGACUCCUACGGGAGGCAGCAGUAGGGAAUCUUCGGCAAUGGGGGCAACCCUGACCGAGCAACGCCGCGUGAGUGAAGAAGGUUUUCGGAUCGUAAAGCUCUGUUGUAAGUCAAGAACGAGUGUGAGAGUGGAAAGUUCACACUGUGACGGUAGCUUACCAGAAAGGGACGGCUAACUACGUGCCAGCAGCCGCGGUAAUACGUAGGUCCCGAGCGUUGUCCGGAUUUAUUGGGCGUAAAGCGAGCGCAGGCGGUUUGAUAAGUCUGAAGUUAAAGGCUGUGGCUCAACCAUAGUUCGCUUUGGAAACUGUCAAACUUGAGUGCAGAAGGGGAGAGUGGAAUUCCAUGUGUAGCGGUGAAAUGCGUAGAUAUAUGGAGGAACACCGGUGGCGAAAGCGGCUCUCUGGUCUGUAACUGACG